rnacentral:rRNA from 1 species
GACAGAGGGUGCAAACGUUGCUCGGAAUCACUGGGCGUAAAGGGCGUGUAGGCGGGACAGUAAGUCGGGCGUGAAAUCCCUGGGCUCAACCCAGGAACUGCACUCGAAACUACUAUUCUUGAGUGUCGGAGAGGAAAGCGGAAUUCCUGGUGUAGAGGUGAAAUUCGUAGAUAUCAGGAGGAACACCAGUGGCGAAGGCGGCUUUCUGGACGAUAACUGACGCUGAGACGCGAAAGCGUGGGGAGCAAACAGG